rnacentral:lncRNA from 1 species
UGAUAUUGCCUAAUUAUAUUCAUCAAUUAUUACCAUCAGUCUAAAAAUCUGAAUAAAUACACAAGUUUUCCACCCAAUUUCUAAAUAUGUCCACAACAUUUUUCCAUUUCAUGAGUCUCCAAUACACAAAAAUAUUGAGAUCGAACAGCUGCUCAUGCGAUCCAAAAUCGACAUUCGCCUCAACCUAUGCCCUCACCAAUGGAGGAAAAAUUGCAAAUACAACAACCACUCGAAAAUCACUC